AGCUAAACCAAUCUAAUCAAACU
rnacentral:snRNA from 1 species